UACGUAGGGGGCAAGCGUUGUCCGGAAUCAUUGGGCGUAAAGCGCGUGUAGGCGGUCCGGUAAGUCGGCUGUGAAAGUCCAGGGCUCAACCCUGGGAUGCCGGUCGAUACUGCCGGACUAGAGUUCGGAAGAGGCGAGUGGAAUUCCCGGUGUAGCGGUGAAAUGCGCAGAUAUCGGGAGGAACACCAAUGGCGAAGGCAGCUCGC
rnacentral:rRNA from 1 species